AAUGAUUCAGGCUCAUACCUCUGUGGUGUCCACAGAAACUCUGAGCUGGACAUUUUCACUUCUGUUGAGCUGGAGAUCCAAGAGUGGUGCUGUUUCAACUCAACUAAAAUAAAUGGCACAGUAGGACAUCCAUUAACUCUGCGGUGUCCUUAUCCUGCACAAAACGGGGAUUACAAGAAGCAUUUCUGUAAGGGCGACCAUCACAACAAUUGCACAAACGUAACCAGUCAAAGGAGAUUCACAUUGCAAGAUGUUGCUCCCUCCAACUCUUUCUUGGUGAGGAUCACAGAGCUGGAAGCAGCCGAUGCUGGGACAUACUGGUGUGGGUCAGACUCACAGUUCAGAGUUGGAAACUACACAAAGAUUCAACUGUCAGUCUUUCUGCAGCACACCACCACUGAAAAUUUUACCACUAUAUUGGAAAUCCUAGGACCAAAUUCAACAGAUGUCCCCGAUGCCACAGUCUAUGUGGUUUUUGCUGCACGCUCUGUGCUGCUGCUACUGCUACUGCUGUGUGUCCUGGUUAUAGCUCAUAAGUACAAAUAUUACAUAUUGAAAGUCCCAGCAGAUGACCACUCAUCUCUGAGCUUGGCUCAUCAGUGCUGAAGCCAUGCCAGCCAACACUGGGCAAGAGCCAGAUGCAGCCAGAAGCUACUGCACAACCGCAGGUCGCUCUCAUGCAGAAGUCAAGGGCAACAACAGAUCCAGAUACAUGUGCAGUCCAUGGGCAGAUAGAUGACACCUCCAGAGGAGGCCAUACGUCAUAUUACACACCUUGUGUAUACAUAUAUAUUAGUGAAUGUCUGUACUGUUAUAACAGGUCAACUGUUCGAUGACAAUCCUAAAGAUUUCAGGGCUGGGCUAAGUCUUCAAAGUUCGAAAAUCCUAACGUCCCCUGUUGCACAGCCACAAAUGUAUGUAUACAAAGCAACUCAUCAGUGUUUUCUACCUGAUAUUGUUGGAUGCUCUAUCAUUGUUUGGCGCCUCAUUUCUGCAGUGGUGUUGGAGAUCUUGUCAAAAUUGCCACUGAAAGUUUUUUGUUUGUUUGUUUGUUUUGUUUUUUUAAUGCAACAUUGGGGUCCAGACUUAGACUCAGAUUUAGAUUUUAAAAAAAUUUAAAAUUUGCUGCAUGCUAUAAAAUGCCAUAAAACUUUCAAGUUGUUGUUUUAAAAUAAAGUGCCAAAAGUCUCCCUACCAAGAAAAUGAAAUAAAUAUCUACUUUGCCCCUUUGGUUUUUUUUUCCAAAACUAUAUAUAAGUGAUAAAGUAUUCCCUUCUUUGCAUUUUAUUGUUUCUCCAAAUUAACCAUCUGUUUUCACAUGAUGAUUUCACAAAUAAUCAUCAUCUGGAGAACAGGAAGAGCUAAGGAUGCUCUUCGUGGACCACAGCUCAGGCUCAACACCAUAACCCCAGACAUCCUCAACACCAAACUGGACUCUAUACUCAGACCAACUCCUUGCACUUCCAAGCACUCUUCUUGAUUGCAUAUAUUGCAUAUAUUUCUCCUGUUUGUUAUUUAUUCUUGUUGUCUUACUGUUUAUACUUUAUUCCUGCACUCACCCAUAAUUUUGUUGUACAUGUACAAUGACAAUA